UUUUACAAUGGAGAGUUUGAUCCUGGCUCAGGAUGAACGCUAGCUACAGGCUUAACACAUGCAAGUCGAGGGGAAACGGCAUUAAGCUUGCACUUUUUGGACGUCGACCGGCGCACGGGUGAGUAACGCGUAUCCAACCUUCCCAUGACUAAGGGAUAACCUGCCGAAAGGCAGACUAAUACCUUAUGAGGUUUUCUGCAGACAUCUAAUGAAAACGAAAGAUUUAUCGG
rnacentral:rRNA from 1 species